rnacentral:tRNA from 1 species
UUGGGCCAUCGCCAAAAGGUAAGGCACAGCACUUUGACUGCUGUAUUUGCCGGUUCGAAUCCGGCUGACCCAGU